GAUGAACGCUGGCGGCGUGCAUAACACAUUCAAGUCGAACGGAGAUAUUGGAGAGCUUGCUCGAAGAUAUCUUAGUGGCGGACGGGUGAGUAACGCGUGAGCAACCUGCCUCUGUGUGGGGGAUAACGACGGGAAACUGUCGCUAAUACCGCAUAAAGUGACCGAGUCGCAUGGCUGAGGUUACCAAAGAUUUAUUGCACAGAGAUGGGCUCGCGUCUGAUUAGGUAGUUGGUGAGGCAACGGCUCACCAAGCCGACGAUCAGUAGCCGGACUGAGAGGUUGAACGGCCACAUUGGGACUGAGACACGGCCCAGACU
rnacentral:rRNA from 1 species